AAAAUGAACAAAAGCGCUGUUUUAACUAUUCUGUUGUUAUCAAGCAUUUUUGGUUCUUACGGUGUCCAACUCGUCGUUGUCUAUGCCAGUUCCUGGUGUAAUACUAGGCGUUGAAAUUCAGCGGAGUGGACCCUCACUCGGUUUCUUUGGCACUGACGUUUUUCUUCUUUCUCUGCCUAAGAAUGGAAUUGUCAGGUGUACUUGGCAAAAACGAAUACGACGCUACCUACAUUCGAGCUAGUUAGCCGGUAUUUAUUGGACAUUUUCAGUUACGGCUAGCGAAAUGCACCCGAAGAAACCCUUGAUGACAUUCGUCGCCUUUGUGUUAUCUGUGGCAACAGAGGAGCGUUUAUAGGUCAAAGACAUACAUCGAUCGGAAGCUUAAAGCUCUUUACUGAGAUACCCACUUCCUAGCGGCAUUAGACAAAGUAGGGCAAUAACAUAUGCAUGAUGCUAGUUACGGCACGGUGUUAAAUUCAUUCCACUGUGUCAAAUUUAGCACCGAUCUUUAGCGAAUACUACUAAUGUUUUGUAACUAUGCGCAGGGGCGUUUUAUGGUUGUAUUUGCGCCUGUUAACAACCAAUGACGGUGGCGUUUUGUGCUGUAGUUUAUUUUUAGCUUAUUUUUAAAUUUAGCUAUAACCGAAAAUAAGUUCGACAAAAUAAGCCCUAAAAAAUAAGCCCGACAGCAUAAACCCGGCCUUGUGUUUUUGAUGUUUUCUUAAAAAACUAUAAGUGCCAUUGGAAAAUAUAUCUGAUUUUUGUGAUCAGCA